rnacentral:rRNA from 1 species
AUUGAACGCUGGCGGCAUGCCUUACACAUGCAAGUCGAACGGUAACAGGUCUUCGGAUGCUGACGAGUGACGAACGGGUGAGUAAUACAUCGGAACGUGCCUAGUAGUGGGGGAUAACUACUCGAAAGAGUGGCUAAUACCGCAUGAGAUCUACGGAUGAAAGCAGGGGAUCGCAAGACCUUGUGCUACUAGAGCGGCCGAUGGCAGAUUAGGUAGUUGGUGGGAUAAAAGCUUACCAAGCCGACGAUCUGUAGCUGGUCUGAGAGGACGAUCAGCCACACUGGGACUGAGAGACGGCCCAGACUCCUACGGGAGGCAGCAGUGGGGAAUUUUGGACAAUGGGCGAAAGCCUGAUCCAGCAAUGCCGUGUGCAGGAUGAAGGCCUUCGGGUUGUAAACUGCUUUUGUACGGAACGAAAAGCCCCGGGUUAAUACCCUGGGGUCAUGACGGUACCGUAAGAAUAAGCACCGGCUAACUACGUGCCAGCAGCCGCCGCAG